rnacentral:lncRNA from 7 species
AAUUAAGAGUUGAGCUCUGUGAUCUGAGGACACUGCAUCGUGCAUAACCACUGCUUUAAACAGUGUUGGAACACGAGCUACAUCAGCUUUCUCCUGUAUCUUGAGAAACUACAUAUGGUAUUUAAAGGUGAGAACGAAGCAUGGUCAUUCCAAGAAGUCAUUUUGAAACCAGCACAGUGCAAUGAGUGUCCCUCAUCGCAAGGAGGCUGUAAGAAAAAAAAGCAGGCUCAUUCCCUCCAAGUGCUAACCACAACCUUAUAGACAGGAAGGGGAAGAAGGAGGCAGCUGCCUGCAGUCCCACCUUGGCAAAAUGGGGCCAAGCCUCAAGAAAUGAGGAAGCUAAAUCUUGAAAAAGCAGCAGGGACGGAGGCUAUCGCGACAGCAGGGAUGGAGAUUACUAUCACAGCCGACUUCAUUUCCAAAUGUUCACUGAAAGGCAAUCAGAGGUGAUGUUCUCCCUCCUGCCUGCAUGUAGACAGACUUUCUGCUGAGCCAAUGUCAAAUACACACAGAGGAAGCACCACAGUGGCUGGAUCAAAGUAAAAAAACUCAGAAACCACUUCAGUGAGCUCCACAUUCAUCAUGGUCUCCUGGAGGUCUUCUUCACUGAUCCAAAUGAACAACCCUAGAAAGCAACUUCUGUAGCAGCCAAAGAAAACAAAGAAUUACAAUCAGAAAAAGAAAGAAAGAAAGAAAAAAGAAACUAAUGGUAAAUAAAGCAAUCAAGU